rnacentral:sRNA from 1 species
UCACUUAAAUUACAACCCGAGCUUAAAAGCCUAAGUAGUAUUUCCUUGUUAGAAGAUAGAAAGCCAAAGCCACUUACGCACUUUAGCUACACCAUCAAAGCUUUGAGAAGCAAGAAGAAGCUUGGUUAGUGUUUUGGAGUCAAUAUUACUAGAUGUCAUGUGUAUGAGUGAGUAUUACAAAUAGAACCGCAACCGGAUCUUAAAAGCCUAAGUAUUGAAUCUUUGUUAGAAGAUACAAAGACAAAGACUCAUACGAACUUCGGCUACACCAUCAAAGCUUUGAGAAGUAAGAAGAAGCUUGGUUAGUGUUUUGGAGUUAGACUAGAUGUCAUAUGUAUGAGUGAGUAUAACAACUAGAAUUGCAACCAGAUCUUAAAAGCAUAAGUAUUGUAUCCUUCUUAGAAGAUACAAAGACAAAGACUCAUACGGACUUUGACUACACAAUCAAAGCUUUGAGAAGCCAGAAGAAGCUUGGUUAGUGUUUUGGAGUCAAAUAUGACUUGAUGUCAUGGGUAUGAUUGAUUAUA